UACAGAGGUCCCGAGCGUUGUUCGGAUUCAUUGGGCGUAAAGGGCGCGUAGGUGGCGACCCAAGUCGAUGGUGAAAGCUCGCCGCUCAACGGCGAGUCGGCCACCGAUACUGGGUUGCUCGAGCACUGUAGAGGCUAAUGGAAUUCCGGGUGUAGCGGUGGAAUGCGUAGAGAUCCGGAAGAACACCGGUGGCGAAGGCGGUUAGCUGGGCAGUUGCUGACACUGAGGCGCGACAGCGUGGGGAGCAAACAGGG
rnacentral:rRNA from 1 species